rnacentral:tRNA from 1 species
UUUUAUUUUAUCCAGCACUGAUGGUUGAGUGGUACAAUACCUCUCUUCCAUGUCUGCGAUUCUAUCGUUGACAGGUUAAGAGGUGGCCGGGGUUCGAUUCCCCGUCAGUGCAUUUCUUUUU